rnacentral:rRNA from 1 species
CUGGCGGCGUGCUUAACACAUAGCAAGUCGAACGCGAAAGGGACUUCGGUCCUGAGUAAAGUGGCGCACGGGUGAGUAACGCGUAGAUAACCUGUCUUCAUGUCUGGAAUAAUACGCCGAAAGGGGUACUAAUACCGGAUAUUCUUGCUUUUCAUAAGUUAUGCAAGCAAAGGUGGCCUCUGCAUAUGCUACUGCAUGAAGAGGGGUCUGCGUACCAUUAGCUAGUAGGUGGGGUAAUGGCCUACCUAGGCGACGAUGGUUAGCGGGUCUGAGAGGAUGAUCCGCCACACUGGCACUGGAACACGGGCCAGACUCCUACGGGAGGCAGCAGUGAGGAAUAUUGCGCAAUGGGGGAAACCCUGACGCAGCGACGCCGCGUGAAGUGAGGAAGGCCUUCGGGUCGUAAAGCUCUGUCAAGAGGAAAGAAGUGUACAAUGGCUAAUACCUGUUGUAUUUGACGGUACCUCUAAAGGAAGCACCGGCUAACUCCGUGCCAGCCGCAGC